GUCAUAUUCUGUUGUUGGAGAUUCUGUGAGGAGCCCAAAAUCCACGCCUCCCUCCCUCUCACCAGACGCGCGGCCGCCACCGCAAAUCAACACUAAAUCGAAAAAACCUUGGUCGCAGGCUCGCAGCUCGCAGCUCGCCGGUUCGCCCACACGCAGUCGCCCGCUGCCGUCGUCGGCGCCCGCCGCGUGCCACCGACCGACCUCCCCCAGCCGCC
rnacentral:lncRNA from 1 species